GAUGAAGAACGUAGUGAAAUGCGAUAAGUAAUGUGAAUUGCAGAAUUCAGUGAAUCAUCGAAUCUUUGAACGCACCUUGCGCUCCUUGGUAUUCCAAAGAGCAUGCCUGUUUGAGUAUCAUUAAAUUAUCAACUGUACCAAUUUGGUUGCAGAUUGGAUGUGGGAGAUUUUGCAGGCUUUUGAUUUCUCUUUGAGAAAACGGUCAGCUCUCCUGAAAUAUAUUAGCAGUGCCUUUGUUGGUUCAUUAGGUGUGAUAAUUUAUCUACAUCUUCACAUGGUACCUUCAUUUGGGUAAAGGUCAUAUUGCUUCUAAUUGUCUUUGGACAUAAAAAAAAAAAACAUAUAAUUGUAUGGAAAACUUGAUCUCAAAUCAGGCAGGACUACCCGCUGAACUUAAGCAUAUCAAUAAGCGGAGGA
rnacentral:misc_RNA from 1 species